rnacentral:rRNA from 1 species
AUCCUGGCUCAGAUUGAACGCUGGCGGCAGGCCUAACACAUGCAAGUCGAGCGGGGUUUCGGACCUAGCGGCGGACGGGUGAGUAAUGCGUAGGAAGCUACCCGAUAGAGGGGGAUACCAGUUGGAAACGACUGUUAAUACCGCAUAAUGUCUACGGACCAAAGUGUGGGACCUUCGGGCCACAUGCUAUCGGAUGCGCCUACGUGGGAUUAGCUAGUUGGUGAGGUAAUGGCUCACCAAGGCGACGAUCUCUAGCUGGUUUGAGAGGAUGAUCAGCCACACUGGAACUGAGACACGGUCCAGACUCCUACGGGAGGCAGCAGUGGGGAAUAUUGGACAAUGGGCGCAAGCCUGAUCCAGCCAUGCCGCGUGUGUGAAGAAGGCCUUCGGGUUGUAAAGCACUUUCAGCGAGGAGGAAGAGUUGUGUGUUAAUAGUACACAGCUUUGACGUUACUCGCAGAAGAAGCACCGGCUAACUCUGUG